rnacentral:rRNA from 1 species
ACACUCCUACGGGAGGCAGCAGUGGGGAAUUUUGGACAAUGGGCGAAAGCCUGAUCCAGCAAUGCCGCGUGAGUGAAGAAGGCCUUCGGGUUGUAAAGCUCUUUUGUCAGGGAAGAAACGGUGAGAGCUAAUAUCUCUUGCUAAUGACGGUACCUGAAGAAUAAGCACCGGCUAACUACGUGCCAGCAGCCGCGGUAAUACGUAGGGUGCAAGCGUUAAUCGGAAUUACUGGGCGUAAAGCGUGCGCAGGCGGUUUUGUAAGUCUGAUGUGAAAUCCCCGGGCUCAACCUGGGAAUUGCAUUGGAGACUGCAAGGCUAGAAUCUGGCAGAGGGGGGUAGAAUUCCACGUGUAGCAGUGAAAUGCGUAGAUAUGUGGAGGAACACCGAUGGCGAAGGCAGCCCCCUGGGUCAAGAUUGACGCUCAUGCACGAAAGCGUGGGGAGCAAACAGGAUUAGAAACCCUUGUAGUCC